AAAGAAGGCGGGCGGCAUGCCUAACACAUGCAAGUCGAACGAGACCUUCGGGUCUAGUGGCGCACGGGUGCGUAACGCGUGGGAACCUGCCCUUAGGUUCGGAAUAACUCCCCGAAAGGGGUGCUAAUACCGGAUAAUGUCUUCGGACCAAAGAUUUAUCGCCUUUGGAUGGGCCCGCGUUGGAUUAGCUAGUUGGUAGGGUAAAAGCCUACCAAGGCGACGAUCCAUAGCUGGUCUGAGAGGAUGAUCAGCCACACUGGGACUGAGACACGGCCCAGACUCCUACGGGAGGCAGCAGUGGGGAAUAUUGGACAAUGGGCGAAAGCCUGAUCCAGCAAUGCCGCGUGAGUGAUGAAGGCCUUAGGGUUGUAAAGCUCUUUUACCCGGGAUGAUAAUGACAGUACCGGGAGAAUAAGCUCCGGCUAACUCCGUG
rnacentral:rRNA from 1 species